rnacentral:tRNA from 1 species
GGCCUUUGUGGUAAAUUGAACUGAUUUUGAAAAUAGGCUAUCCUCAAAUUUUCAAAAGGCUU